rnacentral:rRNA from 1 species
UUUGUCCUACGGGAGGCAGCAGUGGGGAAUAUUGGGCAAUGGAGGAAACUCUGACCCAGCAAUGCCGCGUGAAUGAAGAAGGUCUUCGGAUUGUAAAGUUCUUUAGUUAGGGAAGAAUAAAAUGACGGUACCUAAAGAAUAAGCCCCGGCUAACUACGUGCCAGCAGCCGCGGUAAUACGUAGGGGGCAAGCGUUGUUCGGAAUGACUGGGCGUAAAGGGUGCGUAGGCGGUAGUACAAGUUAGAAGUGAAAUACCCAGGGCUUAACUCGGGUGCUGCUUCUAAAACUGUACGACUUGAGUGCAG